rnacentral:rRNA from 1 species
UACGUAGGGAGCAAGCGUUGUCCGGAUUUACUGGGUGUAAAGGGUGCGUAGGCGGAACUGCAAGUCAGUGGUGAAAUCUGAGGGCUCAACCCUCAAACUGCCAUUGAAACUGUGGUUCUUGAGUGAAGUAGAGGUAGGCGGAAUUCCCGGUGUAGCGGUGGAAUGCGUAGAGAUCGGGAGGAACACCAGUGGCGAAGGCGGCCUACUGGGCUUUAACUGACGCUGAGGCACGAAAGCAUGGGUAGCAAACAGG